rnacentral:rRNA from 1 species
CCUACGGGCGGCAGCAGUGGGGAAUAUUGGGCAAUGGGCGCAAGCCUGACCCAGCAACGCCGCGUGAAGGAAGAAGGCUUUCGGGUUGUAAACUUCUUUUGUCAGGGAAGAGUAGAAGACGGUACCUGACGAAUAAGCCACGGCUAACUACGUGCCAACAGCCGCGGUAAUACGUAGGUGGCAAGCGGUGUCCGGAUUUACUGGGUGUAAAGGGCGUGUAGCCGGGUUGACAAGUCAGAUGUGAAAUCCUGCGGCUUAACCGCAGAACUGCAUUUGAAACUGUUGAUCUUGAGUACUGGAGAGGAAGACGGAAUUCCUAGUGUAGCGGUGAAAUGCGUAGAUAUUAGGAGGAACACCAGUGGCGAAGGCGGUCUGCUGGACAGCAACUGACGGUGAGGCGCGAAAGCGUGGGGAGCAAACAGGAUUAGAUACCCUUGUAGUC